rnacentral:rRNA from 1 species
CUGCAGCCCGAGUGGUGAUCGAUUUUAUUGAGCCUAAAGCGUCCGUAGCCGGACUAGUAAACCCUUGGGUAAAUUGGGCAGCUUAACUGUCCAAAUUCCGAGGGGACUGCUAGACUUGGGACCGGGAGAGGUCAGAGGUACUCCAGGGGUAGGGGCUAAAUCCGAUAUGCUUUCGUGGCAUUCGGUUAGCAUUCCUGUAAUCCUUGGGGGACCACCAGUGGCGAAGGCGUCUGACUAGAACGGAUCCGACGGUAAGGGACGAAACCCUGGGGCGCGAACCGGAUUAGAUACCCGAGUAGUCC